rnacentral:misc_RNA from 1 species
GAUGAAGAACGCAGCGAAAUGCGAUAAGUAAUGCGAAUUGCAGAAUUCAGUGAAUCAUCGAAUCUUUGAACGCACAUUGCGCCUCCUGGCAUUCCGGGAGGCAUGCCUGUUCGAGCGUCAUCAAACCCCAUCGUGCAAAUGAAUUAUUUUUUUUGCGCGGAAGUGACGAUUGAGCGAGAAUAACAAAUCCUCUCGCACCUCGUCGAAAUGAUUGCGGGCGGAAUUUGGGAUCGGGUUCCUCGGCGUAGUGUAUCAAUGCAUAUUUAUGCAACUUGCCGCGGAGUUGAGCCUGACCCACGCGUUCUCGCCGUACAAACACCUCAUUACUUUACAAGUUUUUGACCUCGGAUCAGGUAGGGAUACCCGCUGAACUUAAGCAUAUCAAAGCGGAGGA